rnacentral:rRNA from 1 species
UACGUAGGUGGCAAGCGUUGUCCGGAUUUACUGGGCGUAAAGAGCGCGCAGGCGGUCGUUCAAGUCGCGUGUGAAAGCCCCCGGCUCAACUGGGGAGGGUCACGCGAUACUGAUCGACUCGAAGGCAGGAGAGGGUAGUGGAAUUCCCGGUGUAGUGGUGAAAUGCGUAGAUAUCGGGAGGAACACCAGUGGCGAAGGCGACUACCUGGCCUGUUCUUGACGCUGAGGCGCGAGAGCUAGGGGAGCAAACGGG